rnacentral:tRNA from 1 species
UGGCUCAGUUGGUAGAGCAUGGCGCUUGCAACGCCAUGGAUUGUGGGCUCAUUCCCCAC